GACGAACGCUGGCGGCGUGCUUAACACAUGCAAGUCGAACGGUGAAGCUCCAGCUUGCUGGAGUGGAUCAGUGGCGAACGGGUGAGUAACACGUGAGCAACCUGCCCCUGACUCUGGAAUAAGCGCUGGAAACGGCGUCUAAUACUGGAUACGAGAAGGGUCCGCAUGGGCACUUUCUGGAAAGUUUUUCGGUUGGGGAUGGGCUCGCGGCCUAUCAGCUUGUUGGUGAGGUAAUGGCUCACCAAGGCGACGACGGGUAGCCGGCCUGAGAGGGCGACCGGCCACACUGGGACUGAGACACGGCCCAGACUCCUACGGGAGGCAGCAGUGGGGAAUAUUGCACAAUGGGCGAAAGCCUGAUGCAGCGACGCCGCGUGAGGGAUGACGGCCUUCGGGUUGUAAACCUCUUUCAGCAGGGAAGAAGCGAAAGUGAUGGUACCUGCAGAAGAAGCACCGGCUAACUACGUG
rnacentral:rRNA from 1 species